rnacentral:rRNA from 1 species
ACGAGUGGCGGACGGGUGAGUAAUGUCUGGGAAACUGCCCGAUGGAGGGGGAUAACUACUGGAAACGGUAGCUAAUACCGCAUAACGUCGCAAGACCAAAGAGGGGGACCUUAGGGCCUCUUGCCAUCGGAUGUGCCCAGAUGGGAUUAGCUAGUAGGUGGGGUAACGGCUCACCUAGGCGACGAUCGGUAGCUGGUCUGAGAGGACGACCAGCCACACUGGGACUGAGACACGGUCCAA